UGUCUUUUCACAUAGCUUAGUGUUUGUGUGGAGGUGUCUUGAAUGGACACAUCAUUGUUUAGGUGUCCCUUCAUCUUCACUUGUUCCAUUGUUGUUGUCUGUGCAUCAAUUCCUCUUGUUAGUGAACAAUUGUUCCUCUUCUUUAACUAGGAAGUUUCUUCCAUCGUCUACUCAAAAAUCUCAAUAUUCGUUCAGGUUCCGCCUGAUGUCAAAGAAGUCUUGGACACCUUCAAAGUAGAAGCUGAAUUAGGAAGCGAUUCACUUGGAGCUUAUGUUAUUUCCAUGGCUUCAAAUGCCAGUGACUCCUAGCCGUAGAGCUUUUACAGAAGGAUGCAGGCCUUGCUGUUGCUGGGGAACUAGGCAGGCCUUGUCCUGGUGGAACGUAAGACUGAUAUCUCUUUGGUUGCCGAUGCAAUAAUAAAACUUUCUUCAUGAACUUGUGCAAAAACUUAUGUGCAUUUGGAUGUCUGGCUGUGCACUAAAUUUUCAGAAUUAAUAUGAUCUAUAUUCAUGCAGUAGGGCUAAUGUUAAGCCAAUGAAUUGUCUUUUCAGUUUUCAUCUUAUGCUGGUACUUGUAAAAUUUCCAUCUCACGGAAGGUGGUAAUUUUUCAGUUCUUAUUAUUUAUCUGCAUUCAGACAAGUUCACAUGCCUACAGGGCAAUCUCUUUUCCCCUUUAGAUGAUUGGAUAUAAUCUUUAUGUUCUUCCUUUCUUUCUUACAUUGUAGGAUUAAUCUUUAAUGCUAUAUAUUUAUGUAUACAGAUGUGGUUGAGGGAUCCCAGAUAAUGUAAUCGACGACACUAUCUUAGUGCUUGCUAUGUUUCAAAUCUAUACUUAUCAUUGGUGGCCCUUAUGGGAUUUUCCCGGUGAUGUGAAUUAACUAUCUGGUUCUAAGUUUGACAGGGUGUUUGGUAAUCUGUUAUUUGAUGGAAAACUUGAUUGAUUUUUGGUUGUAAAAAUCUUUUAUAUAUGUGAGAUUUUAAAUCUUAUUACAGGAUUGAGGUGGUGGUUGUUUUGUUUUUAAAUCAAUGUAGAAAUUUUCUUCUUGAAGAAACUAGAAAGUAGCUUGUUGACGGAUGUCUAUAGCUCUCUAGUGUUUUGAAAUAUGCUACUGGCAGGCUUUUAUUAUUUAUAAUGAGUCCUCAUCUCAAAGAAUCUGGCUCAGUGAUUAGAAGAUUACUAUCAAUUGAUUAGUAUAGGGACCACGUUAUAACGAACCACAAUGGGCAUCAGGAGGUAUUUAUGACAUGAUGCAUUAGGCUAUCUAAAAAAGUUUCACUUUUGGGCUUAGCUCAUGGUUGGUGUGCACAGGUUAUGGUUGGUUAUUUUGAUUCUGGAAAAGAUGCUGGCCGUUUCACUGCUGCAUGGGAGCUUUACAAAGCUCAAGAAGAUGUUGUAGUUGCAUGUAAUGAAUAUGGAAUAAAAAUAACUCUAUUCCAUGGACGCGGUGGAAGCAUUGGCCGUGGUGGUGGUCCUACAUACCUUGCAAUUCAAUCCUAGCCACCUAGAUCUGUUAUGAUAUCGAUUACUACAAGUACUUCCGCUGGCUUAGAGCAGAUCCUGCCAUGGAUGUUUUAUAUAAGGGUUCUCUUAGAUCUACGGAACAAGGAGAAGUGGUGCAGGCGACAUUCAGAUUACCCCAAAUUGCUGUUCGGCAGCUAGAGAUAUACACUACAGCUGUUCUACUUGCUACUUUACGUCCCCCACAGCCUCCAAGGGAACAAAAAUGUCGUAAUCUGAUGAUGACAUAUCAAAUUUGAGCUGCAGGAGUUAUAGAAGCACAGUAUAUGAAAACCCUGAGUUCCUUACUUACUUCCACGAAGCAACACCUCAGGCUAAGCUAGGAUAUCUCAACAUUGGUAGCCGUCCAACAAGGAGAAAGAGUUCAGGUGGAAUCGGUCAACUCUGUGCAAUCCCAUGGAUAUUUGCAUGGACAAGACAAGUACAUCGAAAGAAAAGGGCAAGGUGACACAGGCCUAUGGAGAUUGUUGAAAAAAUUAAUGUAUGAAAGUUAAAUCAAAUAACAACACCGUAGGCUAAUUGGUGAGUAUUUAUUACAUAUAAAUUAGAACAAAAUAUUUACUCAUUAUAUAUGGUGACAAGUAAAACAUUAGAGAUUCGUGUAAUGUACAAAGGGGAUGCUUUUGCUUUCUGACAUAUAUGUAAAAUAUGAUCCGCUUCUUUAUUGCAAUGAUACCACUUAUAAUUCAACUAAUGUGAAAAUCAGAUCUUUUAUAUAAUGCACUAAUUUUUUUGAAAUAAUAAUCCUUUAAUGUUGGGUCGUGCUUUGCACGGCCAUGCUCUAUCUAGUAUAUAUAUAUAUAUAACGGCCAUGCUCUAUCUAGUAUAUAUAUAUAUAACAUGGGUGUGGCGGAUUUUGUUGAUUACCCAAAAUUAGAUGACCCAUCAGUUAAAAAAAAGUAAAUGAAUAAAAAAUACAAGAAAACCUAAAAGAAGCAGAUGUAUCUAGAAGGAGAUCAAAAUUCUCUCUCUUUUAGAAUCUAAACUUAAAAGUGAGCUUCUCUUUCGGUCGUCACCGGCCAGAUCCUUUAUCGUAGCUGGUCAUAGACUCCAUGGUCGAUAGCCAUAUCCUUUAUCUUUUCAGGCAUACCUGGUCAUUCUCUGAGUUGUAGCCAUGGUUACGGAUUUUGAGCAUAUGUGUAUCAGCACAAUCACAACCUCUCUGAUGAGUGAAAUCUAGUUAUGAUGUAACGACUUUGGAAGGACAUACAUCUAAGUCCAAAAGGGUCUUUUCUUGCAAUUGGGUAAGCAUUACUCCCAGUUUUUCAUUUUAUUGAUCUCGACUAUGUGUACUCAUGUUCAUAUCCCUACUUUUGUUUCUAAUUAUCUUGUAAUUUAUUAACCUUGGAAAUGACAAUCUUUAUAACCGCUAUUUUAUAGAUGUUGUCUGUAGAUUUAGACUCGUCUAUGAAAUCUUAUCUCUUAUAGCUAAUCAUGUGUUAUAUCGAUUUAGGUCUGAAUAUUCUACUACUAGAACUUUGUCUAUUAGAGAUGGUCCAUGUAACUCUACUAUGCAAAGUUGAAAAUUGUGAAAAACAAAAAUGUUACGACACUUAAUUGAAAUCUAAGUUUUCUACUGCCUUAUUUUGGCUGACUUUCGUUGAUAUUUACUUUUAUGUGGGGAGGUAUGGCGAAUGGAUGCAACAAUUUGAAUUUCAUUCAAGUGUUUUGUUUCUCUUGUUUUGUCUUAAUUUCAUAGGUUGGUAUACAUUGUCACCACUAGUAAAUGGUCUUGCGCUGCAAGCGGGUAGAACAUUCUUCUUUAAAUUUAUUAGAAUAAAACUUUUCUUGUAUUUUGAUGUGAUAGUAUUUUAAUAUGAAUUUAUUUUUUAAAGAAUAGAGGCUAUUAAAUUGUACUUCACAAUUUAUUUUAUUUAAAGAAACGGAAAAAUAACAAAUCAUAACACUAUUUUCUCAUAGUUUACAUGAUUUCAAUCUAGACAUUCAUUAAUUUGCUUUUGAAAUUUUAGAACGGUUAGUUUAUUUUUAUCAUCUAUAUGCAUGGUUACAUAGUAUCUUUAAUAAGAAAGUCAAAUAAAUAUUUUUUCAAUUUUCUUCUUUACCAAUUUCGUUAGUAUCAUCUAUAUGCAUGGUUACAUAUUUUUUUUCAAUUUUCUUAUUUAAUAAUUUCUCGUGUGUGUGUGUGUGUUUGUGUAUGUGUAACUAAUUGAAACAAUUUUACUCAUAGGUGUAAUGAUACAAAAACAAUAAAUUUACCGAGCCACUCAACAAGAGCAAAAUACACAAAUAUAUAACUAUGUAAAAGAAAAACAAAGAGUUCAGAAUUUUUAUUGUUUUAAAUUAGAGAAAACUCCUCUUUGGAACAAAUGCUUACAGUGCCUUAACACAAAGGUCACAACUCUUUAAAAAGGUCACAACCUUUGAUAAAUGCUACAACAUUUCAUAAAAGUCGCAACUCUUCAUAAAAGUUACAACGUUCAUGAAUGGUCACAAAUGCUUAUUGUGCCUUACCGGAAAGGUCACAACUCUUGAUAAAGGUCCCAACCUUUCAUAAAUAUUACAUAAUUUCAUAAAAUCCACAACUCUUCAUUAAAGUCACUUUUCAUAAAAGGUGUAAUUUUUCUUGAAAUGUCACAAAUGCUUAUUGUGCUUUACUGGAAAGGCCAUAACUUUUUGGAAAAGUCACAACACUUUAAAAAUGUCACAACCUUUCAUAAAUGUUACAGCAAUUCAUAAAAGUCACAACUUUCCAUUAAAGGUAAAGACUAAAUUCUGAAAUAAAUAAAUUAAAAGGAAAUCCUUGUUUGUGGUGGCUCCACAUAAACGGGCCUAGGGUUCUCUUUUGUAUAUACAACCCCAUCAGGUCCAUUACAUGAUGUUGAUCAGCGAAACAAUAAUGCCUUUUCUACCAGCUCCAGUGAUGGCAUAAUCUGCAUUUGUGAUGUUGGUGAGCGUACACAAGUCAAAACAUUUAGGACAUCAUGUGUGCUCCACUGAUGAAUGAAAUCAAUGCUCGUGAGUGGUACCCCUCAGAUUCCCUGUCGGCUUCAUGCUUUGAAGAUAACAUAGUUCAGUCCAGAUAUGGAGCAUGAAGUAAGAUGCCUGCUUGCAUGAUUUCGUAGAACACCACAAAGAGAUAUCUAUAAUCCAAUGGAGUCCAACUGGUGCUGGUACAAGCAAUACAAAUCAACAAUUGUUUCUGGCAAGGUAUGAACUUCAGCAAACGCUUCAUGCUUUUAUAGAGCGUGUGGCUGCUGUUUUCCCGGAGUAGGUGGAACAACACAUUCAACAACUCUUUAACCAAAUUUAAGCCCUCGAAGAAAAGGGUAGGACCCUUUCCCGAAGAAAAACCUUAUUGUUAGGAUGACCUAUUGCAUCAGCGGUGGAAACAAGAAUCAGUGGACACUUUGAAGUUUUAAGAAGGUUUAAAUAAGUGUAUGUUGACACAAUGUACUUUAUUUAGUGGAUAUCUACUUAAAUA